GACGAACGCUGGCGGCGUGCUUAACACAUGCAAGUCGAACGGAAAGGCCCUGCUUUUGUGGGGUGCUCGAGUGGCGAACGGGUGAGUAACACGUGAGUAACCUGCCCUUGACUUUGGGAUAACUUCAGGAGACUGGGGCUAAUACCGGAUAGGAGCUCCUGCUGCAUGGUGGGGGUUGGAAAGUUUCGGCGGUUGGGGAUGGACUCGCGGCUUAUCAGCUUGUUGGUGGGGUAGUGGCUUACCGAGGCUUUGACGGGUAGCCGGCCUGAGAGGGUGACCGGCCACAUUGGGACUGAGAUACGGCCCAGACUCCUACGGGAGGCAGCAGUGGGGAAUAUUGCACAAUGGGCGGAAGCCUGAUGCAGCAGCGCCGCGUGCGGGAUGACGGCCUUCGGGUUGUAAACCGCUUUCGCCUGUGACGAAGCGUGAGUGACGGUAAUGGGUAAAGAAGCACCGGCUAACUACGUG
rnacentral:rRNA from 1 species